CCACUAUAAUCAUGUUGUCAUAUUAUACUCAUAUUAUCAUGCAUUCUUUUUCUAUUUUUGCAAUUCCACCCUUAAUCAUAAUUUUUGGCAUUUUUCUCCACCCUACUAUCUUUAUCUUUUACUUUGUAUGCAUUCAACCUUUUGAUCACGUCACUGAUACUCCUCCACCUUUCCUUCUUUAUUUUCUAUAGAUGGAAAGCCCACCACCACCCUUUG
rnacentral:lncRNA from 1 species